CCCUUAGACGUUCUGGGCCGCACGCGCGCUACACUGACCAGUGCAACAAGCAUCCGUCCUUGGCCGACAGGCCCGGGCAAUCUUUGAACGCUGGUCGUGAUGGGGAUAGACUUUUGCAAUUUUUGGUCUUCAACGAGGAAUUCCUAGUAAACGCAAGUCAUCAACUUGCAUUGAUUACGUCCCUGCCCUUUGUACACACCGCCCGUCGCACCUACCGAUUGAAUGGUCCGGUGAAGCCUCCGGAUUGGCGCGCACCUCGGUGCCGCCGAGAAGUUGGCUAAACCUUACCAUUCAGAGGAAGGUGAAGUCGUAACA
rnacentral:rRNA from 1 species